rnacentral:tRNA from 1 species
GGAGAGAUGGCAGAGCGGCCGAUUGCACCGGUCUUGAAAACCGGAGUGCCGGUGACGGCACCGGGGGUUCGAAUCCCUCUCUCUCCGCCA